rnacentral:rRNA from 1 species
AUGGCUCAGGAUGAACGCUGGCGGUGUGCCUAAUACAUGCAAGUCGAUCGGGCGUAGCAAUACGUCAGAGGCGUACGGGUGAGUAACACGUAGGUAACCUACCUUUAAGACUGGGAUACCCAGACGAAAGUUUGGCUAAUACCGGAUAACAACAUUUGAGACAUCUCUUUGUUUGAAAGGCGCUGCAAGGCGCCACUUUUAGAUGGACCUGCGUCGCAUUAGCUAGUUGGUGAGAUAAAAGCCCACCAAGGCUGGGAUGCGUAGCCGAUCUGAGAGGAUGACCGGCCACAAUGGGACUGAGACACGGCCCAUACUCCUACGGGAGGCAGCAGUAGGGAGUUUUCGGCAAUGGGGGAAACCCUGACCGAGCAACACCGCGUGAGUGAUGAAGGUCUUCGGAUCGUAAAGCUCUGUUACGAGGGACGAAUGAUCGCUUUAGGAAAUGAGAGCGGUUUGACGGUACCUCGCCAGAAAGCGACGGCUAACUACGUGCCAGCCGCAGC